rnacentral:snRNA from 1 species
AUCUCUUCAGAGGUAUGUACGAUAAAUUUCGAACGAUGGAGAAUAGUAGUAUGGCCUCUGCGCAAGGAUGACAUUCGAAAUCGAGGAUUAUACAAAAUUUUU